AUUCCAUAAUGUGGGCAUAGCCUCAACAUAUCCUUGUAUUUGUCCCAUGCUUCAAAAAGAGAUUCAUUGUCUUUUUUUCCUAAAUCUGUUAAUUUGGCUUCUUAGCAU